UACAGAGGGUGCGAGCGUUGUUCGGAAUUACUGGGCGUAAAGGGCGCGUAGGCGGCCUUCUAAGUCGAACGUGAAAUCCCCGGGCUCAACCCGGGAACUGCGUCCGAGACUGGAAGGCUUGAAUCCGGGAGAGGGAUGUGGAAUUCCAGGUGUAGCGGUGAAAUGCGUAGAUAUCUGGAGGAAUACCGGUGGCGAAGGCGGCAUCCUGGACCGAGAUUGACACUGAUGAGCGAAAGCCAGGGGAGCAAACGGG
rnacentral:rRNA from 1 species